rnacentral:rRNA from 1 species
GACGAACGCUGGCGGCGUGCUUAACACAUGCAAGUCGAACGGUGAAAGCGGAGCUUGCUCCGCUGGAUCAGUGGCGAACGGGUGAGUAACACGUGGGCAACCUGCCCUUCACUUCGGGAUAACUCCGGGAAACCGGGGCUAAUACCGGAUAUGACCUCUGCGGGCAUCCGCGGAGGUGGAAAGUUUUUCGGUGAAGGAUGGGCCCGCGGCCUAUCAGCUUGUUGGUGAGGUAGUGGCUCACCAAGGCGACGACGGGUAGCCGGCUUGAGAGGGCGACCGGUCACACUGGGACUGAGACACGGCCCAGACUCCUACGGGAGGCAGCAGUGGGGAAUAUUGCGCGAUGGGCGAAAGCCUGACGCAGCAACGCCGCGUGCGGGAUGACGGCCUUCGGGUUGUAAACCGCUUUCAGCAGGGAAGAAGCGAAAGUGACGGUACCUGCAGAAGAAGCACCGGCUAACUAUGUGCCAGCCGCCGCGGUAA